CGCUGCGUCCGUAACGGCGGUUUCGUCAGGGGGCAGGGCUUAACAAGGAAAUGGGGUAAUAAGGAACAUCUGACUACAUCGUCUGCGACUGUGAGCGGAUCUUUUCCGCCCACUCUUCGGUAUCGAAAACGGGAAAUACACAAAGUAUUCCACCGUUUCCGAUACCUCGAUUGGUCGAAAAAUCUCUCGCUCACAGCUCUUGCCGAUGUAGUCAGAUGUUCCUUGAAGCCCCGCAUUGACCAAUACCGUGUGCGUUUAGAAGCCUGUCCGUUGGCGAAAGCCAGUCAUUGGGGCGACCUGAGAAGGCAGGGCAGGUUUUGCUUGAGGCGCGAGUCGGGAGACCUACUGUUUCGUCAGAAUGUUG
rnacentral:ncRNA from 1 species